AAACAACUUUUUAUGUCUUUAAUGUGUAAUUAUUUCAAAGAAUUCUUGUCUCAUUUUUUACAGCAAGAACGUUAAGAUUACAUGAAAGUUUUUCUUUUGAUAGUCAUUAUCACUAGCCAUUUGUUCCUAAUAAUAAUAGAUAGACGACUUAAUGUGCAUUCAGCUAAUAAAAUCUGGACACAUUUUUAAAGAUAUGGUUGCUAAGUUAAUAAAAAAAACCUUUCAUGUAACUGAUCAUAGCUAGAUAUGUGAAUUUUUAUGUUUCUUUAAAAAAAACCAUUUAGAAGUUAGAAUGUUUUGGACUUAAACUGCAUAAUAUAUUUCUCUCUUUCUUUUUAUAAAAUUAUAUUUAGACUAUUUUAUCAAUCGGUUUUUCAAAGGCUGCAAGGCCAUUUUAUCAUUAAUCAAAUGUCACGUCACAUAGAUGCAAGGAAGUAAUGUUACAUUGUUUAUUUUUUUAUAUCAAGUUCACCAAAAUGACGACUACUUUUGCUGUCCUCAUUAUUAUGUCAUUCAUAAAUCAGAUUAUGACAAGCAAUUCAAAGGGAAACGACACUGCGCCAUUAUCAGCUGAAGAUCCUGUAUCAAUAAUUGAAAAGUCAAUCCUACAAAUCCCUCUCUUAAAGAAGUUUACUACUAUUUUCAAAAAGCAGCCACCCAGUCCUCCAGGAAAAAUAAAGGAGAUCCAGAAGAUUAAUAUAAAGCCACUCCUUGGUUGUAUUAAAACAGAUACUUGUUAUUAAUUUUAAAAAAUACAUCCAUCUGUAGAUGAACAUUCUAGAUUCAAUACUUCAUGUGUGUAAAUUUUAGAAUGUAUCUGCAUAAAGACUGACAUUUGAAACUAUUAUAAAAUAAACUGUUUUAGAAUUAUAUCUGUAAGAGUCUUACCUCUUCAUGAAUUGUAGGUAAUAAUUGGUUAAUGGCAGUCACGUGAUAGCUACAUACAUUACAAACAUACGAAACGAAAUUUACCCCCCCCCCCCCCGAACAUUAUGGCGUCAUUCUUAGAGUACUCUAGUCAAAUUUUUUAC